UGACCCCACCGCGAGAGCGGUGCUGGGGCCUGCCAGGCCCGGCCGCGAUGCACGCGCCUACCGAUGGCAUCCCGGAGCACGACCUCUUUGGACGUUCCAACGCGGCGCCCCCUA
rfam:Oryctolagus cuniculus unplaced genomic scaffold chrTn0057, whole genome shotgun sequence.